UCUCUCUCUCUCUCUCUCUCUCUCUCUCUCUCUCUCUCUCUCUCUCUCUCUCUCUCUCUCUCUCUCUCUCUCUCCCCCUCCCUCUUUCUGUCUCUCUCGCUCUCUCUGUCUCUGUCUCUGUCUUUCUCUUCUCUCUUUCUCUCUCCUCCUCUCUCUCUCUUUCUCUCUCUGUCUCUCUGUCUCUCUCUGUCUCUCUCUCUGUGUGUGUCUCUCUCUGUGUGUCUCUCUCUUUCUCUCUCUUUCCCACACACGAAUUGACAAAGAACCCUGAUUUCUAUUGCCUGCAGUGUUGGAGCCCUGGGUGCCACUAGCAGGGAGAACACUGAUAUUCUCUGCUCCAGAGGGUGUGGUGAGCCCAGAUGCCUGCACUGGGACUAGCUGGCUCAGUCCCACCUCCUCCCUCUCAGCGAGCUUUCCCAAAGCAUCCCUUGGAUCAUUUCAAUAACUGGGCUCAGCUGCCACCAGAGGAAGAAGGAGAUGGAAGACCCAUUUGGGGAUAGAGGUGGGGGACAUCCCCCUCCCCAUCAAGAACAUAGAGAGCAGGCUGGGAAGAGGAGAGAUGUCGGAGGGGAAAGAGAGUGCCUUUCUGAGAAGGGAGAAAUGCUGCUGCUUCAUCAUCAACCCUGUCUGGGAUUAUAGAUGGAGAAGGAGUUGAAUGUUGGAAUUAGGGACAUUUCCAAAGCAUCUAAAAGAACUUUGAUGUGAAAA